AUCAACUUUCGAUGGUAGGAUAGAGGCCUACCAUGGUGGUAACGGGUAACGGGGUGUUAGGGCACGACACCGGAGAGGGAGCCUGAGAAACGGCUACCACAUCCAAGGAUGGCAGCAGGCGCGCAAAUUACCCAAUCCCGACACGGGGAGGUAGUGACAAUAAAUAACAAUACGGGGUUCUUUCGGAUCUCGUAAUUGGAAUGAGUACAAUUUAAAUCUCUUAACGAGGAACAAUUGGAGGGCAAGUCUGGUGCCAGCAGCCGCGGUAAUUCCAGCUCCAAUAGCGUAUAUUAAAGUUGUUGCAGUUAAAAAGCUCGUAGUUGAAUUUCGGGAUCAGAAGGUCGGUCGUGCCAAUGGUAUGCACUGGCCUUUCUGAUUCCUCCCUCUUGAUGAGCCGUAAUGUCAUUAAUUUGGUGUUGCGGGGAAUCAGGACUGUUACUUUGAAAAAAUUAGAGUGUUUAAAGCAGGCAAGCGCUUGAAUACAUUAGCAUGGAAUAAUGAAAUAGGACGUUCGAUCCUAUUUUGUUGGUUUCUAGGAUUGACGUAAUGAUUAAUAGGGAUAGUUGGGGGCAUUAGUAUUCAAUUGUCAGAGGUGAAAUUCUUGGAUUUAUUGAAGACUAACUACUGCGAAAGCAUUUGCCAAGGAUGUUUUCAUUAAUCAAGAACGAAAGUUAGGGGAUCGAAGACGAUCAGAUACCGUCGUAGUCUUAACCAUAAACUAUGCCGACUAGGGAUCGGAUGAUGUUAAUUUUUUAAUGACUCAUUCGGCGCCUUACGGGAAACCAAAGUGUUUGGGUUC
rnacentral:rRNA from 1 species